rnacentral:rRNA from 1 species
UACGUAGGGGGCUAGCGUUGUCCGGAAUCAUUGGGCGUAAAGAGCGUGUAGGCGGCCCGGUAAGUCCGCUGUGAAAGUCGGGGGCUCAACCCUCGAAUGCCGGUGGAUACUGUCGGGCUAGAGUGCGGAAGAGGCGAGUGGAAUUCCUGGUGUAGCGGUGAAAUGCGCAGAUAUCGAGGAGGAACACCGGUGGCGAAGGCGGAUCUCUGGGCCAUUACUGACGCUGGAGGAAGCGAAAGGCGUGGGGAGCGAACAGG